AAUGAACGCUGGCGGCGCGCCUAAUACAUGCAAGUCGAGCGAGAAGACGUAGCAAUACGUUUGUAAAGCGGCGAACGGGUGAGGAAUACAUGGGUAACCUACCCUCGAGUGGGGAAGUAACUAGCCGAAAGGUUAGCUAAUACCGCGUACGCUCCUUGGACUUCGGUUCAGGGAGGAAAGCGAUACCGUGGGUAUCGCGCUCUUGGUUGGGCUCAUGUCCUAUCAGCUUGUUGGUGAGGAACGGCUUACCAAGGCUUCGACGGGUAGCUGGUCUGAGAGGACGAUCAGCCACACUGGCACUGCGACACGGGCCAGACUCCUACGGGAGGCAGCAGUAAGGAAUAUUGCGCAAUGGGCGAAAGCCUGACGCAGCGACGCCGCGUGGGGGAGUGAA
rnacentral:rRNA from 1 species